rnacentral:misc_RNA from 1 species
GAUGAAGAACGCAGCGAAAUGCGAUAAGUAAUGUGAAUUGCAGAAUUCAGUGAAUCAUCGAAUCUUUGAACGCACAUUGCGCCCGCCAGUAUUCUGGCGGGCAUGCCUGUCUGAGCGUCAUUUCAACCCUCAUGCCCCUAGGGCGUGGUGUUGGGGAUCGGCCAAAGCCCGCGAGGGACGGCCGGCCCCUAAAUCUAGUGGCGGAUCCGUCGUGGCCUCCUCUGCGAAGUAGUGAUAUUCCGCAUCGGAGAGCGAUGAGCCCCUGCCGUUAAACCCCCAACUUUCCAAGGUUGACCUCAGAUCAGGUAGGAAUACCCGCUGAACUUAAGCAUAUCAAUAAGCGGAGGA